UACUGUAGGAAGUUGGGGAAUUCUAACCAGUGAGGCCCAAUGGGCUAGUGGCUUUGGAUGAACUUUGAGCUAAUAAACAUGUCAGGCUGGGUUGGCUGGCUGACAUAUUUCCUACUUGCGGAAGGUACCUCUUGGUAUGACUAAAGCCACGUGUGGACCUGCAGCUCACAGAUUUCAUCUGCACCAAAUUCCAUAUCUCCAAAAGAAUCACUACAGAUUCAGCCAAGCUGGUGGUCUCCUGAAGAAAUUCAAACUCUCUGCUGAUCAAGUGAGAAAACACAUGUGGGUGUAUCAGGAGGAUACAUAAUCUUCAUUGACUUUAUCUUGGUGACAGUUCCACUUGGUGAAAUUUUCUCUUGGAUCUUUGGUCUUUGGAAUUCUUUUGCCAAGUACUGGUGAUGUUUCCUCCUCUCUCCUGAUUCCUACCUAUGCAUGAAAGUUCUCUUCCAUCUAGCUUAAUAUCCUGAAAGACUGAGAAGUUCAGCCAAGAAUUCUCUGUUGCUUACCCCUGUGUUUUCCAGUCUGGGAGACCUCAUGGAAAAUUAAACAUAAAUUCAUCUGAAGACAGAACAACAAAGUCAGCAUUUAACUGUGCUGAAUUUUACAGAAUUUUCUCCUGUGGAAGGUAUUGAUAUCUUUUAAGUGAAUAGAGUAAUGUGGGAAUGAUUCUCUAAGUUAUUGACAGGUGUCUAGAGAGGAGCUGUGAAAGAAACAUUUUGAUCCUUGAGAAUCACAUCAUAAUGGAUUGGGCUAAUCUCCUGGCUUUUCAGAUCUGUUCAUGUCUAAGACGUAUCUAAGGUCACAUUGCAGCUAUAGACUAAUGAGACUUCUCACUUCGUCUUGUUCAGAUGCCAAGCUAAGACACUUCUCAGGCUCUGACACUCUGACACUGUUCCUGUGCUUUAAAGGUUCAGAGUUCAGAUAUGCUGAGACAAGCAAGAGACAACCUGAGUCCCACAUUCACUAAAGAGCCAAGCACUUGAAAAGAUUUUCUAGUUUAACUUAUAGACCUGAAUCUAGUCCCAACUUGAGUAGCUCUAUUCAGUUAUUGGGUGUUAAUUUA